GUCACACGGUAGUUUGAUCAGUGGCUACAGAACGACGCUGGCGGCAUGCCUAACACAUGCAAGUCGAACGAGACCUUCGGGUCUAGUGGCGCACGGGUGCGUAACGCGUGGGAAUCUGCCCUUGGGUUCGGAAUAACUCAGAGAAAUUUGAGCUAAUACCGGAUGAUGACGUAAGUCCAAAGAUUUAUCGCCCAAGGAUGAGCCCGCGUAAGAUUAGCUAGUUGGUGGGGUAAAGGCCUACCAAGGCGACGAUCUUUAGCUGGUCUGAGAGGAUGAUCAGCCACACUGGGACUGAGACACGGCCCAGACUCCUACGGGAGGCAGCAGUGGGGAAUAUUGGACAAUGGGCGAAAGCCUGAUCCAGCAAUGCCGCGUGAGUGAUGAAGGCCUUAGGGUUGUAAAGCUCUUUUACCAGGGAUGAUAAUGACAGUACCUGGAGAAUAAGCUCCGGCUAACUCCGUG
rnacentral:rRNA from 1 species